AACGAACGCUGGCGGCAUGCCUAAACACAUGCAAGUCGAACGAACCUUCGGGGUGAGUGGCGCACGGGUGCGUAACACGUGGGAACCUGCCCUUAGGUUCGGAAUAACAGCGAGAAAUUGCUGCUAAUACCGGAUAAUGUCUUCGGACCAAAGAUUUAUCGCCUUUGGAUGGGCCCGCGUAGGAUUAGCUAGUUGGUGAGGUAAAGGCUCACCAAGGCGACGAUCCUUAGCUGGUCUUAGAGGAUGAUCAGCCACACUGGGACUGAGACACGGCCCAGACUCCUACGGGAGGCAGCAGUGGGGAAUAUUGGACAAUGGGCGAAAGCCUGAUCCAGCAGUGCCGCGUGAGUGAUGAAGGCCUUAGGGUUGUAAAGCUCUUUUACUGGGGAUGAUAAUGACAGUACCCAGAGAAUAAGCCCCGGCUAACUCCGUG
rnacentral:rRNA from 1 species